rnacentral:rRNA from 1 species
ACGGCGUAGUAAGGUGUAGGAACGUGCCCUCUGGACGGGGAUAGCUACGGGAAACUGUAGGUAAUACCCGAUGAUCUCUGCGGAGCAAAGGUGUGAUUCCGCCGGAGGAGCGGCUUACAUGAUAUUAGCUAGUUGGUGGGGUAAUGGCCCACCAAGGCGAUGAUGUCUAGGGGGUGUGAGAGCAUGGCCCCCACGACCGGAACUGAGAUACUGUCCGGACACCUACGGGUGGCUGCAGUCGAGAAUCUUCCGCAAUGGACGAAAGUCUGACGGAGCGAUGCCGCGUGCGGGAUGAAGGCCCUUGGGUUGUAAACCGCUGUCAGAGGGGAUGAAAUCUCCGGAGGUUCUCCUCCGGAGUUGACAGAGCCUCAGAGGAAGCACGGGCUAAGUAUGUGCCAGCAGCCGCGGUAAUACAUACUGUGCGAACGUUAUUCGGAAUCACUGGGCUUAAAGGGUGCGUAGGCGGCGAUUCAAGUCAGAUGUGAAAUGCCUGAGCUCAACUGAGGCAUUGCGUUUGAAACUGGAUUGCUGGAGUGUCCCAGGGGUGUGCGGAACUGCCAGU